rnacentral:rRNA from 1 species
AGAAUCAACGCUGGCGGCGUGCCUAACACAUGCAAGUCGAACGAGAAAGUGGAGCAAUCCAUGAGUAAAGUGGCGCACGGGUGAGUAACACGUGACUAACCUACCCUUGAGUGGGGGAUAACCUAGAGAAAUCUGGGCUAAUACCGCAUAAUACCUUCGGGUCAAAGGAGCAAUUCGCUUAAGGAGGGGGUCGCGGCCGAUUAGUUAGUUGGGCGGGGUAAUGGCCCACCAAGACUGUGAUCGGUA